rnacentral:rRNA from 1 species
AUAUAGUCAUGCAUAGCAUAUCAAUAAGCGGAGGAAAAGAAACUAACAAGGAUUCCCCUAGUAACUGCGAGUGAAGCGGGAAGAGCUCAAAUUUGAAAUCUUAAAAGGUUUUCCUUUUACGAAUUGUAGUUUAAAGAAGUGUUUUCUGUAGAAAUUUUAGUAAAAGUUCUUUGGAAUAGGACAUCAUAGAGGGUGAGAAUCCCGUAUUUGACUAGAAUUUUUCAACUUUGUGAUACACUUUCAAAGAGUCGGAUUGUUUGGGAAUGCAGUCCAAAAUGGGUGGUAAAUUUCAUCUAAAGCUAAAUAUUGGCGAGAGACCGAUAGCGAACAAGUACCGUGAGGGAAAGAUGAAAAGAACUUUGAAAAGAGAGUUAAAUAGUACGUGAAAUUGUCCAAAAGGGAAGCGUUUGGCACCAGUGUUGUUUUUCUAAAAAUCAAUUUAAAAUUUAGCUUAUGUUAAGUAUUUUAGACUUUAAUCAGGCUAUAUAAUUUAGUUUUUUGUAAUUUUUGAAUGCACUUUUUAGUUAACAAGUCAACAUCAAUUUCUUUUGUUGUAAAAGAAUAAGAGGAAGGUGGCUUGGAUUUAGUUUCAAGUGUUUAUAGCCUUUUAUUUAUGCAAUAGGAGGGAUUGAGGUCUGCAGCAUAGAUCCUUCGGGGCUAGAUGCAUUUGUCGCUAAGAGUCAGUAUUAUAUAAACAACUUGUUGAUUAUAGUAGUAUGUUGAUUUCUACUCGCGAGUGUUAUUUUACCUACGCUUAGGAUGUUGACGCAUGAGAUAUACGC